UAAUUGCAGUUUUAGCCAUUAUUUUCAAUGGCAAAAACUGUAAUUACUUUUGCACCAAUCUAAUA
ensembl:miRNA